rnacentral:lncRNA from 1 species
AAUGUCGAAGGUCACUAGAGAAGAAACUGUCUGACCUACUUGGUGACUGUCAAGAGCAGAAAGAAGGAUGCACCUUCUGAAGGUACGUCUGAUGCACUCAUUAUUAAAACUAAUCUAAUGAUUUUCUCUUCUUCUAGUUGGAUUCUAGACUUUGAUUUGAGUACUUAUUUAUAUACUUCUAUGCAGGGUCUUGAAGAAGUGAGAGGGCU